rnacentral:rRNA from 1 species
UACGUAGGGGGCUAGCGUUGUCCGGAAUCAUUGGGCGUAAAGCGCGUGUAGGCGGUCCGGUAAGUCCGCUGUGAAAGUCGGGGGCUCAACCCUCGGAUGCCGGUGGAUACUGUCGGGCUUGAGUACGGAAGAGGCGAGUGGAAUUCCUGGUGUAGCGGUGAAAUGCGCAGAUAUCUGGAGGAACACCGGUGGCGAAGGCGGCAUCCUGGACCGGCAUUGACGCUGAGGAGCGAAAGCCAGGGGAGCAAACGGG